GAUGAACGCUGGCGGCGUGCCUAAUACAUGCAAGUCGAGCGAACAGACGAGGCGCUUGCUCCUCUGACGUUAGCGGCGGACGGGUGAGUAACACGUGGAUAACCUACCUAUAAGACUGGGAUAACUUCGGGAAACCGGAGCUCAUACCGGAUAAUAUAUUGAACCGCAUGGUUCAAUAGUGAAAGACGGUUUUGCUGUGACUUAUAGAUAGAUCCGCGCCGCAUUAGCUAGUUGGUAAGGUAACGGCUUACCAAGGCGACGAUGCGUAGCCGACCUGAGAGGGUGUUCGGCCACACUGGGACUGAGAGACGGUCCAGACUCCUACGGGAGGCAGCAGUAGGGACUCGUCCGCGAUGGGCGAAAGCCUGACGGAGCAACGCCGCGUGAGUGAUGAAGGGCUUCGGAUCGUAAAACUCUGUUAUUAGUGAAGAACAAAUGUGUAAGUAACUAUGCACGUCUCGACGGUACCUAAUCAGAAAGCCACGGCUAACUACGUG
rnacentral:rRNA from 1 species